rnacentral:rRNA from 1 species
UACGUAGGGCGCAAGCGUUGUCCGGAAUUAUUGGGCGUAAAGAGCUCGUAGGCGGUCUGUCACGUCUGCCGUGAAAACCCGAGGCUUAACCUCGUGGCUUGCGGUGGAUACGGGCAGACUAGAGGUAGGUAGGGGAGAACGGAAUUCCCGGUGUAGCGGUGAAAUGCGCAGAUAUCAGGAGGAACACCGAUGGCGAAGGCAGGUCACUGGGCCGCAACUGACGCUGAGGAGCGAAAGCAUGGGGAGCGAACAGG